GGGAAGCGCUUUAUUGAUGUGGUGGCAUUGAUGGGGAGGGUUAUUGUUAUUGGAAUAUGUAGGGGCAGAGAUUUCGCUUCCAAGAUGGAUGGAACCUAUACUGGGGAGAGAACUGCAUCUGUAACCAGCCUGCUGAUGGCUGCUACAACACAGGCUGUCGCCCCUCUCCCUGCGUGCCGGUGCAGUCAGCGUACGCCAGUUUUCGCAAAAGAACCACCAAGCAUUCGCCGGCUCACGGUGGUGGCGGAUGCCGCCAGCUACCUGGCGUCCUUGCGAUAAAGAUGCUGGCUGAUCCUGGGCGGCUGCGGCGACGGCAUGGCGGCUGCCGUGUGCCCGGCCCUCACACCAGCUCUGAGCUCAAAGAGUACCUGCCUGACCUGUGCGACGGCGUGUCGCUGAAGACCGGUUUAUACGGUCCGCGGAGGCCGUGCUUGGAAAUGACUGAGUGCCGUCGGAGGUGUUCAGUAACCUUUUGAUAUGCUUAUCAGAAUUUUUGUCGUGCGAUUGAGGUAGAAGAAUGAGGUCUGAAUGGACUAAUCGGCUUGGGCCUGAGCCAGCCAAGCGACACCGGCUUGUCGUCCGGUGUGGAAGCUGAUGUUACCGCUGCAUUCUAGGGUCAUUAGUUUCAUAACAGCUACGUUCGCGGCAGAAGUGUUGCGAUGGACUAAAAGUGCAGGCUGACGUGUGAGAGGUGUGUGAAAAAAUGUGUGUCAGCCUUGCGGAAGAACUUCGCUAAGCAAUUUUUGUGCGUGUGUGCGUGGGCGUGCGCGUUUUGCAGUAAGUUCAUAUUGGAGCGUUUUGUUUUAAACUUCCUUCACUUUAUGCUUGCUCGAGCUUAGACAUUUACUUAAGUGAGCCAAGAGCCAAGCCAAGAGUUUCGGCAUGAUGUGCCGAAAUUGUAUGUGUGUCCUAUUCCUGACCGGACACUAACGUCGGUCGGUGAGGAUGGACCAAAGUCGACUGUAGACGCGGAUACCGAUAUAGCGUGCGACGGCCCCAAGGUGGUCCACAAUAUGUCAUUCCUUUUAGUGGGUAGGCAUCGUUAACCUGAAACGGCCAUUGGUGUCCUUUCUUGCGUGUUAUAAAACUGAAGCUGUGAUAUCGUACAACACAGUGUCGAUUGGAGGGUAAGCAGUUUCUGAGUCAAGGAUAGUAGUAACGCAUGUGAUUUAGUAAUAAUGAUUUACUAGAACGUCUGUGAUGUAAGAUAAAAGGGAUUUAUCUAAGUAGAAACAAAAAAAGUGCAGAGACUAUUCAAAUGGUCACACCGUGUUAUAUGCUUGUUCUUUGUUCGGUUUUGUAGCAAUACAUGCCAUAAAGUAAGUG